rnacentral:rRNA from 1 species
AGCGGCGGGCCUAACACAUGCAAGUCGAACGCGAAAGGUCUUCGGACUGAGUAGAGUGGCGCACGGGUGAGUAACACGUAGGUAAUCUACCCUUUGGCGGGGGAUAACGUUCCGAAAGGAGCGCUAAUACCGCAUAAGACCACGGAGUCUCCGGACGCUGUGGGAAAAGGUGGCCUCUUCUUGAAAGCUACCACCGAAGGAUGAGCCUGCGUCCCAUCAGCUAGUUGGUAAGGUAAUGGCUUACCAAGGCGAAGACGGGUAGCUGGUUUGAGAGAAUGAUCAGCCACACUGGCACUGGAACACGGGCCAGACUCCUACGGGAGGCAGCAGUGAGGAAUAUUGGGCAAUGGGCGAAAGCCUGACCCAGCCACGCCGCGUGAGUGAUGAAGGCCCUCGGGUCGUAAAGCUCUGUGGAGAGGGACGAAAACCCUGGUUUCAAAUAGGCUCCAGGCUUGACGGUACCUCUUUAGCCAAGCACCGGCUAACUCUGUG